AAAAAAGCAAACUCUGGGUUUUUGUGUCCAACUUUAACUGUUCGUUUUAUAUGAAAAUUUUUUAUAAUUUGUAUUUUUAUUGUUAUUAGAUGAUAAAAUAUGAUUAAUAUUUUAUGCGUGACUUGUCUUUUUAAUUUUUUUAUAAUUUUUUCAAAUAAAACGGUCCAACAAUGGACACAGAAACCAGGGUUUAUCUUUUU
rfam:Oryza sativa (indica cultivar-group) chromosome 7, whole genome shotgun sequence.